UAUAUGUAUAUACAGGAAUGUUAAACUGCUAUCACACAAAGAGGACUCUUUAAAAGUAAGACGUCCCCGGAUGACUGCAGGCAU